GAGGUGUUUGCGGUCGGAGUCGAUGGUGCGGGCGACGAAGGAGGCUUCGGCUCCGAGGGCCAGGGACACCGGGUUGAAGGGGGCGUCGAGGGAGCCCAUGGGGGUGGAUUUGGUGAUCUUGCCGACUUCGCUGGUGGGGCUGUACUGGCCUUUGGUGAGGCCGUAGAUGCGGUUGUUGAAGAGCAGGAUCUUGAGGUUGACGUUGCGGCGCAGGGCGUGGAUGAGGUGGUUGCCGCCGAUGGAGAGGGCGUCGCCGUCGCCGGUGACGACCCAGACGGACAGGUCGCGGCGGGAGGAGGCGAGUCCGGUGGCGAUGGCGGGGGCGCGGCCGUGGAUGGAGUGCAUGCCGUACGUGUUCAUGUAGUACGGGAAGCGGGAGGAGCAGCCGAUGCCGGAGACGAAGACGAUGUUCUCCUUGGCGAGGCCGAGUUCGGGCAUGAAGCCCUGGACGGCGGCCAGGAUCGCGUAGUCACCGCAGCCGGGGCACCAGCGCACUUCCUGAUCGGACUUGAAGUCUAGCUAGCUAGACACCCUUACCCCGGGACAACCACCGCCCGGGAUGGACUACCUUCCUGCGUCACCCCAUCACUCACCUACUACAGGUCUGGUCCGUCGGCUCCACCACUCCCCUUUGCCCGAAGGCUCCGGGGCGGCUUCACGGACUUAGCAUCGCCUGGUUCGAUGUUUGACGCUUCACAGCGGGUACCGGAAUAUCAACCGGUUAUCCAUCGACUACGCCUGUCGGCCUCGCCUUAGGUCCCGACUUACCCUGGGCAGAUCAGCUUGACCCAGGAACCCUUAGUCAAUCGGCGCACACGUUUCUCACGUGUGUAUCGCUACUCAUGCCUGCAUUCUCACUCGUGAACCGUCCACCACUGCCUUCCGGCGCGGCUUCACCCGGCACACGACGCUCCCCUACCCAUCACAGCGGGCGUUGGCCCUCAUGCUGCAAUGACACGACUUCGGCGGUACGCUUGAGCCCCGCUACAUUGUCGGCGCGGAAUCACUAGACCAGUGAGCUAUUACGCACUCUUUCAAGGGUGGCUGCUUCUAAGCCAACCUCCUGGUUGUCUGUGCGACUCCACAUCCUUUCCCACUUAGCGUACGCUUAGGGGCCUUAGUCGAUGCUCUGGGCUGUUUCCCUCUCGACCAUGGAGCUUAUCCCCCACAGUCUCACUGCCGCGCUCUCACUUACCGGCAUUCGGAGUUUGGCUAAGGUCAGUAACCCGGUAGGGCCCAUCGCCUAUCCAGUGCUCUACCUCCGGCAAGAAACACACGACGCUGCACCUAAAUGCAUUUCGGGGAGAACCAGCUAUCACGGAGUUUGAUUGGCCUUUCACCCCUAACCACAGGUCAUCCCCCAGGUUUUCAACCCUGGUGGGUUCGGUCCUCCACGACCUCUUACAGCCGCUUCAACCUGCCCAUGGCUAGAUCACUCCGCUUCGGGUCUUGAGCGCGCUACUGAAUCGCCCUGUUCGGACUCGCUUUCGCUACGGCUUCCCCACACGGGUUAACCUCGCAACACACCGCAAACUCGCAGGCUCAUUCUUCAAAAGGCACGCAGUCACGAGGCUAGCUAGCUAGCUGAGACCUGAUGCCGAGCCGAUUGUGGUGAAGUGGAUGAUCCUAUGCUGUCGAGAAAAGCCUCUAGCGAGUUUCAUGGCGGCCCGUACCCUAAACCGACUCAGGUGGUCAGGUAGAGAAUACCGAGGCGUUCGGGUGAACUAUGGUUAAGGAACUCGGCAAAAUGCCCCCGUAACUUCGGGAGAAGGGGGGCCACGUCUGGUGAUGAGUCUUGCACUCUGAGCUGGGUGUGGCCGCAGAGACCAGCGAGAAGCGACUGUUUACUAAAAACACAGGUCCGUGCGAAGCCGUAAGGCGAUGUAUACGGACUGACGCCUGCCCGGUGCUGGAACGUUAAGGGGACCGGUUAGUCACUCUUCGGGGUGGCGAAGCUGAGAACUUAAGCGCCAGUAAACGGCGGUGGUAACUAUAACCAUCCUAAGGUAGCGAAAUUCCUUGUCGGGUAAGUUCCGACCUGCACGAAUGGCGUAACGACUUCUCGACUGUCUCAACCAUAGGCCCGGUGAAAUUGCACUACGAGUAAAGAUGCUCGUUUCGCGCAGCAGGACGGAAAGACCCCGGGACCUUUACUACAGUUUGAUAUUGGUGUUCGGUUCGGCUUGUGUAGGAUAGGUGGGAGACUUUGAAGCGGCAGCGCCAGCUGUUGUGGAGUCGUCGUUGAAAUACCACUCUGGUCGUGCUGGAUGUCUAACCUGGGUCCGUGAUCCGGAUCAGGGACAGUGUCUGAUGGGUAGUUUAACUGGGGCGGUUGCCUCCCAAAGAGUAACGGAGGCGCCCAAAGGUUCCCUCAGCCUGGUUGGCAAUCAGGUGUUGAGUGUAAGUGCACAAGGGAGCUUGACUGUGAGACCGACGGGUCGAGCAGGGACGAAAGUCGGGACUAGUGAUCCGGCGGUGGCUUGUGGAAGCGCCGUCGCUCAACGGAUAAAAGGUACCCCGGGGAUAACAGGCUGAUCUUCCCCAAGAGUCCAUAUCGACGGGAUGGUUUGGCACCUCGAUGUCGGCUCGUCGCAUCCUGGGGCUGGAGUCGGUCCCAAGGGUUGGGCUGUUCGCCCAUUAAAGCGGUACGCGAGCUGGGUUUAGAACGUCGUGAGACAGUUCGGUCCCUAUCCGCUGUGCGCGUAGGAGUCUUGAGAAGGGCUGUCCCUAGUACGAGAGGACCGGGACGGACGAACCUCUGGUGUGCCAGUUGUCCUGCCAAGGGCAUGGCUGGUUGGCUACGUUCGGGAGGGAUAACCGCUGAAAGCAUCUAAGCGGGAAGCCUGCUUCGAGAUGAGGACUCCCACCCACUUGAUGGGGUAAGGCUCCCAGUAGACGACUGGGUUGAUAGGCCAGAUCUGGAAGCGCCGUAAGGCGUGGAGGUGACUGGUACUAAUAGGCCGAGGGCUUGUCCU
rnacentral:rRNA from 1 species